rnacentral:lncRNA from 1 species
ACUACACUGCAUAACUAAGUUAAUGUCCUAUCCAGAGUCACUUCUACUCUUAGGAAAGAAGAUCAGAUAGUAUGUAUGUAUACACAUCCAGGUGCUCAAAUUUCAGGGUGCUUGUAUGAAGAAGAUGCCCUGCGAGCAAACACUGAGGCUGAUGCCUCAGGAUGAAGCAGGUUAGUGAGGUUUCAUCAAAGUGUGGACAAGAGAUGAAGGAGAUCAAGAAGAAACUAAUGUGCCCAGCCCAGUGGGAGCCAAGAGACCUUGCAGUCUUCAUAGACAGAAGCACUGAUACCCUUUCACUAGAAAAGGACUUUGAACUACACGCUCUGUUUAGCACAGAUGGGCAGUGAGCCAGGAAGAAACCAUGACAUCUCACUGCUAUUGAAGACUUUAAACUCUUGCCAGCCUUAAACAAAAGCAAACGUUCUACAACGGAUCUGCUACUGUCAAUCAAUAAAGACUGAUUGGCUGAUUCAUAAUGGCCCUCCAAAAAUGUUCCUGUGUCGAUCCACAGAAUGUGUACCUUUUGCUACAUGGUGAGAGGGCCUUUAGAAAUGUGAUUAAAGAUCUCAAGAGAGGCUAAUCCAGGUGAGCUCAAAGGAAUCAGAAGGAUCCUUAUAGGAAAGCAGAGGAGGAUCUGACAGCGAAGAGAUGCAGAGGCAGAAGCAGAGGCUGGAGUGACAAGUACUGAAGAGGGAGUCGAUGGGGACUGUGUGCUAGGCAGCAGAAAUGGCUUAUAGAAGUUGGUCAAGUCAUGGACAUAGCUUAGUGCCUGGAGACUUCAGAAGGAGCCUGAUCCUGUGACCCACUUGGGAUUUCUGACCUCCAUACUCUGAGAGAGUAAAUGUCUCUCUCACUCAUAAUAAUUGGCAGCAGAAGUAGGAACAACUGAAGGCGCCGGCUAACAAUUUCAUCUGCAUGGUCUCUGGGUAGCUCUGUGUAUUGACAUUCCAGCCAGAAAUUGAGUGCCAAGUAUAGGAAUUUUAAA